rnacentral:rRNA from 1 species
UACGUAGGUGACAAGCGUUGUCCGGAUUUACUGGGCGUAAAGAGCGCGCAGGCGGUCGUUCAAGUCGAGUGUGAAAGCCCCCGGCUCAACUGGGAGGGUCACUCGAUACUGAUCGACUCGAAGGCAGGAGAGGGAAGUGGAAUUCCCGGUGUAGUGGUGAAAUGCGUAGAUAUCGGGAGGAACACCAGUGGCGAAGGCGACUUCCUGGCCUGUUCUUGACGCUGAGGCGCGAAAGCUAGGGGAGCAAACGGG